rnacentral:rRNA from 1 species
UACGGGGGGAGCAAGCGUUGUUCGGAUUUACUGGGCGUAAAGGGCGCGUAGGCGGCCACCGCAGGUCGACGGUGAAAUCUCCGGGCUUAACCCGGAAAGGUCAGCCGAUACUGCGGGGCUAGAGUGCAGAAGGGGCAACUGGAAUUCUCGGUGUAGCGGUGAAAUGCGUAGAUAUCGAGAGGAACACCUGCGGCGAAGGCGGGUUGCUGGGCUGACACUGACGCUGAUGCGCGAAAGCUAGGGGAGCGAACGGG